UUGAUGCAGGACUGGUGACCUAGUCUGCAGUCACUUGGCAAAACUUUUAUCCACAAACUGAGAUUAAAAACAAUAUUCAACUGAGGUAGAGCUGGAGUCAGUGAGAAGCUCCCAUUUUCUAUUUCAAAGCUUUUACUCCAGGACGCCAUCUUGUACAGAGGGGAUCUUUGGAAAAGUGUCCCAGAGGAAGGAGAUGUGUUCCAGGCAGGCUCUUCUCUCUGGCCAUGGGACUGUCUGAGGAGGCUAUGACCGAGGAAGCCACCUCUGUGAAGGAACACUUGCCUAUCUCCUUAUUGCUCUGGGAAUUGCAUUAAGGAAAUGAGGAGAUGCUCUGAGAGUCACUACCUGUCUAUGAUCCGGAAUUGACUUCUCUGUUUCCUUUGGACACCGGAGUUGCAAGACGCUGAGCCAACUUCUUGACUUCUGUUGAGUUUGACCUAACCAAUUAAAGACU